UGGAAACUGAGCGUCAAGCUCCUUGUCCUCUGCCCUAAAAGACCAGGAUUCUAUGGGCCUUGCUGGGCUCUUGCCUUCAAAAACCCAGGCCUCCUAAUUCUCCCCAGAAACAGCUGCAUUGGAGACCCCAAGUCUCGGGAGCACACCCCUGCUUCCUGCCCUGUGACUGCUUUCCUCUCAACCUCAGCGGGUCCCCACCUCUCCGUCAAGUUCAGUCUUGGGAAAAUGCCAGGCAUGAUGGCUCGCACCUGUGGUUUCAGCUGUUCCGGAGGCCAAGGCAGGAUGAUAACUUGAGCCCAGGAGGUCAAGGGGUCAAGGCUGUAGUGAGCCAUGAUCCUGCCACUGCACUCCAACCUGGGGGAUAGAGUGAAAUCCCGUCUCUGAAAAAAUAAAUAAAUACAUACAUAAAAAACAUUUGCUGUCUCAUUUGAAGGUAAAUGGCAGGCAUGUCAACAGACCACUUACAGACCUUAGCAGCGUCUGCUAAGAAUAAAAGCUUUCUCCAAAAUCCCA
rnacentral:lncRNA from 10 species